GACAGAGGUGCCGAGCGUUAGGCGGAAUCACUGGGCUUAAAGCGUGUGUAGGCGGAUGCCUAAGUGCCUUGUGAAAUCCCACGGCUUAACCGUGGAACUGCUUGGUAUACUGGGUGUCUUGAGCCACUUAGGGGCGACCGGAACAAACGGUGGAGCGGUGAAAUGCGUAGAUAUCGUUUGGAACGCCAAUGGUGAAAACAGACUGCUGGGGUUGCGCCGACGCUGAGACACGAAAGCCAGGGGAGCAAACGGG
rnacentral:rRNA from 1 species